UGACGGUGAUCGUUGUCGCCGCGUCUUCUGUGGAACCCAAGCAGUGCCGAAGGAAGUCGCAAGGCUCUUCCCCGACCUUUUGCUCCUCUCCCUGCGCGAGACACUGGGAUUGGUGGCAUGAGUCACCAUGUCCAGCUUCUUUGUGGUUUGUUUGAUGUUUCUGUUGUCCUUAGAGACUCAUCUAAAGUAUCACUGCUUCUAGAGCCAGCGAUUGCAUAAGGCCCUUUGAUUGAAUUUAAACAGUCUCCUAGAUUGAUUCUGCCUCCCAACAAGAACAAACUGAGGAAGUGAUGAGCCACGUAGCCGGUGACCCUUAGAGUUUUAGAUGUGCGGUUCCCUUCAUGUAUACUUUACAGAAAACCAGCUAAGCCGGGCGUGGUGGCGCACGCCUUUAGUCCCAGCACUCUGGAGGCAGAGGCAGGCGGAUUUCUACAAAGUGAGGCCAGCCUGNAAAAAAAAAAAAAAAAAAAAGAAAGAAAGAAAGAAAGAAAGAAAGAAAGAAAGAAAGAAAGGAAGAAAGAAAGGAAGAAAGAAAGAGAAAAGAAACCCAGCUAAAGUAGAGAAAGGUGUUUAGAAAACUUAAUGUUAACUUUUUUGUUUUAACUUUUAAUUCUUUAGGAAUGUUUCUUAAGUAGUGAUUUAUAUUAGCUACUGGGAUUAUAAUGCUAAGCU
ensembl:lincRNA